rnacentral:lncRNA from 1 species
UACUUGAGGGAAAGAGAAUCUGGGAUGAGCACAUUGGCAUACUUUCUUGCCAGGGAUACAAUCGAUCAUUUCAACACAGCUUUAAAGCCAAUCAUUUACCUCUCCAUGUUUUACUACUUCAACAAUCCGAGAUCAUCGAUCGGCAGUAAUUACAUCAUACUCCUCUCGCUUGUGUAUUGUGUGACUGGGAUUGGAUACACUUUCGCCAUCUGUUUCAAUCCUGGCUCGGCGCAGCUGGUACGUAUAUUCUUGCUGAUUAAUCAUACUGUCGAUGAUUCGUCACAUAUACACAGACUAACUCACCUGAUAUAUUUUUUCUUCUGCAGUGCUCUGCACUGAUACCUGUUGUUCUGACCUUGUUAUCCACACAAAGGACCACCCCUACAUUUCUCAAGAAUAUGAGCUAUCCAAAGUGGGCACUAGAGGGCUUCAUAAUCGCAAACGCAAAAAGGUUAUUUCUUUCUUCUCAUGAACACCUCCUGUCAAUAAAUACUGCAUCCAAAUGCAUGCGAGAUUGUCGCGUUAUAUAUGGAGUUUGUAAACUUCCAUUCGUGCUCACUUUUUUGCUACUCUGUUAUCUUUCUUUCAGGUAUCCUGGAGUUUGGCUAAUAACUCGCUGCGGCUUGCUGUUCAGGAGUGGUUUCAAUAUUCACAACUACCAACUCUGUAUUGUGGUUCUGUUCAUGUAUGGUCUCUUCUUCAGGAUUGUUGCAUUUGUGGCAAUGGUUCUGCUGAAGAAGAGAUGAGGGGAGUGCAAUUGCACCAAUUUUUUCAUAUUUAAUCUCUUCAUUUUUUUCCCUGUACAUUUGUAAAUAUUUUGUGAUGUUUUUUCUUACUGAAAAUUAUAGAAUAGUCACAGAGAGAUACAAAUAACAGAAUUCAGACACAGAUGUACAAAAGAGUCAACACUGCUGACACCAUUUUGUUUGCCCACAUUAAUUUUCGCCACUCGACAUGUACAAUUGCCCUUUCAUAUAUUUCAAGUUCUUAGGUUCUCUUGUUUUGCGGGUAAGAUUCAAUUUACUGGUGUAUAUCAUGAUUCAGCAGUCCAGCAAUGGCAGCUCAGAUGAAGAGGCUUUCACGAAUAACCGAUUUUUUUGCUUUUUGCAGAGGAUGUCAGGCACAUAUAUAAAAACAAUUACAAUUAUAUAAAGAUAUUAAACAAAUAUUUUUCUCAUCUUAAUUUUCUCCGCCUUUUUUAGUUGAAUAUCCUCUGCUUCUAAAAUCCAAUUGCAAAAUGAUUAAUUGAAGUAGAACUAGUGUACAUGAAUUUUCAAAAUUAUAGAUAUGAGAAAUCAAAUGAAACUACAAUAUUAAAAAAAAAUAUGUUUUACAUAAUUGACUUAAUGUUUGAAUUUGAGAGUACCACUUGGAACUUUUUGGGCAACAGACUAAAGGUAGUCCAACAAAACUCCAAUUGUGAGUAAGCAGCAGAUUUACGUACGAGUGUGCCCCAAUUAAAAAACAUCUGAUCCUAAAAUAAAUAUAUAAAUAAAUUCAUAUCAAAAUAAAUGAAUGACUGAAUAUAAAAAACAAUACAUCUCACAAUAAUAAGUUAGCAAAAGACAAAACAUCUCACGGGCCGCCGUGGUGCAGGGCUCCAGGCCCCUGCGCAGCGCGUGCGGUUCACCGGUCAGCCGGGAUGGACGGCCGUGCCCGCCGGCCAGCCGCUGCAGCACGGCGCGGUUCCAUGCCCGCAGGCUCGCCUCAGCCGUCACCAGCCACGGCCCAUGGGCUAGUUCUUCUGGCUAUCAGUAGUGCUCCAGCCGGAUGGGCUCUUUUACACGUUGGGCUGGUUGCCAGGCCGAAUGUGCUCUAGUUAGAUCAACGGACGGAGUUGCUCAAAAAGAGAAAAAAAAAAGGUUAGAUCAACGGUAAUGCUAAGUAGUGAACGUUCGCUUGGAAGAAACUUUCAGGGAAUGCCGCUUGAUCAAGAUCAAAUGAUGGUGUUUUAGAAAAAAAAAUGUCUUCUCUACCAUGAAAUUAUCCUGCUAUACAGAAAUUGUCACCUCCCUACAACUAAAAAUGUCAUGAAAGCCAUUCGCAGUUGUCACCCUCCUUAGCGCACAUUCCCCAGCUAAGAGGGUCUUAGAUUAAGCCUUCAUCUGUUGUUUUGAGUCUAAGGGCAUCUCCAACGCUAUACACCAAACCGCCCGCAAACGUCUGAACCACGUUGUGUGGACAAUUUGCGCCCUCCAACGCCGUCCAUCAAACAUCUGCGGACAUGUCCGCACGUUCGAGUUCCCGCAAGCUGGAGGCAAACCUGGGGAGGUUUGUGGGCGCCUAGACCUCCGCCACGAAGGCGUCUGACUGCCUAGCCCCACCGAUAGUCAUGUCGCGCGGAGCAUCCCGCUCCAGAACUGUCUCCGCGCAUUCAUGUUGGUUUGCCGCUCUAAAGCAGACGCGAAUGGACGGCGCAAUGAGACAGACAUGACCGGACGGGAGGGUGACGGCACUUCAAUGCUCACACAGAGACUGAGAAGCCUACUUGGGCCGUCGCGCGGCAUUGAAGCGUUGUCGGUCCACCUGCCCCGGCUAUGUAAGCAGGCAGUCUGCGCUGGCCAACCCCAUCCUCGCCUCGCCUCUCCUCUCAUCUCUUGCCCUCUCUCCUCACAUCGUCUUCGACCCUCCCCUCUCUCUCCUCCUUGACCAACGAUGGACACUUCUGGCGGCAAUGGUUGGUUCUCGGUGCUGGACAAUGAAGGGAGCUCUGGAUUGUGGCAUCGUCGCCAACGGUCUCUGAGGUCAUCGUCCUCCACCAUUGCGUCAAUGAAGGAGGAGGUGGUGCUCUCCUUCUAUAAAAUAUGAAAAUCCUUCUGAAAGUAAGCUUAAUCUGUUGUCCAUCAAAGGUAUCCUCAAUAGUUGUAGAUGUCUCCCCAUUACCCUUGCUAUCUGUAUCCAAACUUGAUGGCCUAAACAACACAAAUGACCCCCUUCCAAAAUCUAGAGGUCAGCUCAUAAAAGUAUUCGGCAUAUUAGUUCUAUAGUUAUGAUCAACCAUGACCCUUCAAAGUUUUCUUUCUCCCUCAGAGUAUAUUUUGAUCCAACCUCCUGGCCAAAUGACCCACCAAUUUCUUUCUUCAUGCAAACUAACCCUGACUGUUGAAAUCUUUAAAAAGACUUAUAUUUAGGAAUAGAGGGAGUAGUAUCCAAUUGGCCAAGUGAAGCUUUAUGUGACCUUUAAAGUCAUUCUAUAAACAAUGGACCAUUUGGGUGUUAAUCAACUCAAUGGCCCACACUUAGAUUUUUUUUUAAAAAGAUGGAAGAUAAACAGAAAUACCCACAAAGACAAGCCUAAAUGAGGACAAGUCUCCCUUAUACGAGAUGAGUUUAUCUCCCCAACCAGCAAUCCUCUUCAAAAUCUUAUCUACUAGUGGUUGAAUAUCCUCUCCCCCGAGCCUAUCAUGAUGGAGAGGGAUGUAUACAUACUUAAUAGGGAAGUAACCUCUAUUUUUUUCUCCUUCUUUCUUUUCAAUCCCAUCGAUCAUAUGCAUGUGUCUGAAUAAUUAUGAAUAAAUAUAAAUUAGGGAGAGCAACGAUUCGGUGUCCAGGCUCAUCUGCACCCCCGAUAUAUGAAGAAACAAUUCAAAACAAAUACUAAAAAAAUUCUAAAAAUAAAUUCCAUGAUAGAUAAUUUGGUGCGUGAGAUGUGCUCCAAAUUUUAGAUUGUCUGGACAUCUGAAUGGCUCUCGGCAAAAAAGACAAAUUUGCAUUCUGUAAAAAAGUUUAUUGUUCAUGUACUGUUCUGACCUAAUUUGUCUUUUUUGCUAAGAGUUACUUAUAUGUCUAAAUGAUCUGAAAUUUGGAGCGUGUCUUACACACCAAAUUAUCUACCGUGUAAAAAAAUAGAUUUUAAAAACUUUUUUGUAUUUUUUUGUGAUUUUUUUGAUCGGAUGCAGAUGAGUCUGGGCUGAAAAAAAUCAGUGGACAAUGAUGUGUGUAUCUCUAAUAGUAAUAAACUAGAUGAUACCCCGCGCGUUGCUGCGGGAAUCCUUGCAAAACUUUUUAUAUAAAAAAAUCUUAGUUUUGGAAAAGGGGAGUUCUCUGCAACAAAAAAGUAAAAUAAAGGGAAUUUAACAUGUAUAAUGUAAUAGUUGCAUUAUGAGAUAUCUUUUGUUUAUGCUAUGGUCAGGAACAAACCAUAUUGGGAGAUCAAACAAAGGUACCAAUUCGAGGCGAAGCGAGAAGACGAAGUGUCGAGGCCCCUUGUAGAUUUAAUUACGAUGACAUGGAUAGUUUGCAUGGGAAGAAAAGAUAGUUAGUCGGGAUCAAUUUUAUUGUUAUAGGAUAUCAUAUUAGGAUUGCGUUGUGUUGUCAAAAUUGAGAUGUAUCCAUGUGUUAGUGCAUAAUUGAUCUCCAAAAAGUUCAAAUAUAUUUCAUGUUUAACAAAAGAUAGUUGUAGGCUUUUUAUGAACAUAAUCGAUAGGUAAUAACAGUCCCACCUUGCAUUAAAAUAGUCGACAUUCGGAACAUUUUAUUCUGGUGUAAAAAAUGAACUGUAGUUUAUGAUCCCGAAAUCAAAAUAACACACAAUGGGCACAUCACUAAAGAAAUGAACACUACGAAGGGUACAACUGAACAUUGUUGAUCCAGGGGGCAAGAACAGUCUCACCUUUUCUCUUUUUUUUGGCUCUUCUUAUCCCGCUAUAAUAAACAAAAUAUGAACUACAGUGUAUGAUCCCAACUGAAAAAAAAAGACAUACUAGGCACAUCAGUAGAGAAAUGAACACUACCAAUGGCAACCGAAUAGCUGAUAUUUGUGCAUACCUAUGGCAAUAUAUGUUAGUGCUUAUUAGAUGUAAUGCAAUGAUAUAUCAAUGUAACAGGCAUGAUCGGAUCGCCGGGAUAAUGUAUAAGGUUGCGAAAAAUUUAAAGUAUCAAUGUUUGACAAUAAAACUAUCUAGCACGAUCAGACCGAGAAUACAUGGUGAUAAUCAUGCAUCAAUAAAAAUUUUGGGCCAAAAUUUUUAGUUGAAAUUGUGAAAGACGAAAGCAACAAUAUAUAAGCAUUAAUUUUGGAACAACAUUGUUUUCUUGCUAACUAUGAUGCUGGAAGCAAGUGAGAUUUCUCCGGAUCACAGAGUGAGCCAUAAUAUUUGACAGAACAAUAGAACAUAAACACACGUUGAACACCUUCUACCUCCCUGUCCCUGGUAGUUGUUGGCUACCUUCUGAAACAGUGAACGACUAAAGCAACAAUAUAUAAGCAUUAUUUUUUGACAACAUUUGUUCUUCCUAACUUAUGCUGCACGAAGCAAGAGAGAUUGCUUUAAAUUACAGAGUGAGCCAUGUAAUAUUUGACAGAACAAUGGAACAUAUACACACCUUGCACAUCUUCUACCUCCUAGUUAUUGUCCGUAUGGAGGCACCUGCAAGCGUAUGUGAAAACAAAGACCAACUACAAUGGGGAUAAGAUAAACAAACACUAAAGGUACAGCUCAGCACGGGACACUACAAAGAGCUUAAAAUAGAGGUUAAGAAAAAAAAAGAGAAGGAAAAUAAAAGAAAAGAAUGUUUUCAGCGGCAGGAUAUUUUUACCUAUCUUUGAUAAGAUAAACAAACACUAAAGGUACAGCUCAGCACGGGACACUACUUUCUUGCCAGGGAUACAAUCGAUCAUUUCAACACAGCUUUAAAGCCAAUCAUUUACCUCUCCAUGUUUUACUACUUCAACAAUCCGAGAUCAUCGAUCGGCAGUAAUUACAUCAUACUCCUCUCGCUUGUGUAUUGUGUGACUGGGAUUGGAUACACUUUCGCCAUCUGUUUCAAUCCUGGCUCGGCGCAGCUGGUACGUAUAUUCUUGCUGAUUAAUCAUACUGUCGAUGAUUCGUCACAUAUACACAGACUAACUCACCUGAUAUAUUUUUUCUUCUGCAGUGCUCUGCACUGAUACCUGUUGUUCUGACCUUGUUAUCCACACAAAGGACCACCCCUACAUUUCUCAAGAAUAUGAGCUAUCCAAAGUGGGCACUAGAGGGCUUCAUAAUCGCAAACGCAAAAAGGU